GCUCAAAGAUGGACUCGCGUCCGAUUAGUUAGUUGGUGAGGUAACGGCUCACCAAGACCGCGAUCGGUAGCCGGACUGAGAGGUUGAACGGCCACAUUGGGACUGGGACACGGCCCAGACUCCUACGGGAGGCAGCAGUGGGGGAUAUUGCGCAAUGGGGGCAACCCUGACGCAGCAACGCCGCGUGAAGGAUGAAGGUUUUCGGAUUGUAAACUUCUUUUAUUAAGGACGAAAAAUGACGGUACUUAAUGAAUAAGCUCCGGCUAACUACGUGCCAGCAGCCGCGGUAAUACGUAGGGAGCAAGCGUUGUCCGGAUUUACUGGGUGUAAAGGGUGCGUAGGCGGCUUUGCAAGUCGGAUGUGAAAUCUAUGGGCUCAACCCAUAAACUGCAUUUGAAACUGUAGAGCUUGAGUGAAGUAGAGGCAGGCGGAAUUCCCCGUGUAGCGGUGAAAUGCGUAGAGAUGGGGAGGAACACCAGUGGCGAAGGCGGCCUGCUGGGCUUUAACUGACGCUGAGGCACGAAAGCGUGGGUAGCAAACAGGAUUAGAUACCCUGGUAGUCCACGCUGUAAACGAUGAUUACUAGGUGUGGGGGGUCUGACCCCUUCCGUGCCGGAGUUAACACAAUAAGUAAUCCACCUGGGGAGUACGGCCGCAAGGUUGCAACUCAAAGGAAUUGACGGA
rnacentral:rRNA from 1 species